rnacentral:sRNA from 1 species
AAAACGUGAAGGAUAACGUUGCGUCAGCAACGGCCCGUAGGGCGAGGCAAAGCCGAGUCAUCCUGCACAACCCACCA